CAGCCGCCGCGGUAAAACGAAGGGUGCAAGCGUUAAUCGGAAUUACUGGGCGUAAAGCGUGCGUAGGCGGUUUGUUAAGUCUGUUGUGAAAUCCCCGGGCUCAACCUGGGAACUGCAUUUGUGACUGGCAAGCUAGAGUGUGACAGAGGGGGGUGGAAUUCCGCGUGUAGCAGUGAAAUGCGUAGAUAUGCGGAGGAACACCGAUGGCGAAGGCAGCCCCCUGGGCCAACACUGACGCUCAUGCACGAAAGCGUGGGGAGCAAACAGGAUUAGAUACCCGCGUAGUCCCUGUCUCUUAUAC
rnacentral:rRNA from 1 species